GAUAAACGCUGGCGGCGUGCUUAACACAUGCGAGUCGAACGAAGUUUUUCCUUCGGGAGAAACUUAGUGGCGGACGGGUGAGUAACGCGUGGGUAACCUGCCCUGUACAGGGGGACAACAGCUGGAAACGGCUGCUAAUACCGCAUAAGCACUUAGCACUGCAUGGUGCAUAGGGAAAAGGAGCAAUCCGGUACAGGAUGGACCCGCGUCUGAUUAGCCAGUUGGCAGGGUAACGGCCUACCAAAGCGACGAUCAGUAGCCGAUCUGAGAGGAUGUACGGCCACAUUGGGACUGAGACACGGCCCAGACUCCUACGGGAGGCAGCAGUGGGGAAUAUUGCACAAUGGAGGAAACUCUGAUGCAGCGACGCCGCGUGAGUGAAGAAGUAUUUCGGUAUGUAAAGCUCUAUCAGCAGGGAAGAAAAUGACGGUACCUGACUAAGAAGCACCGGCUAAAUACGUG
rnacentral:rRNA from 1 species